rnacentral:rRNA from 1 species
AUUGAACGCUGGCGGCAUGCCUUACACAUGCAAGUCGAACGGCAGCACGGGGGCAACCCUGGUGGCGAGUGGCGAACGGGUGAGUAACAUAUCGGAACAUACCCUAGAGUGGGGGAUAACGUAGCGAAAGUUACGCUAAUACCGCAUACGAUCUAAGGAUGAAAGUGGGGGAUCUUCGGACCUCAUGCUCAUGGAGUGGCCGAUAUCUGAUUAGCUAGUUGGUGAGGUAAAGGCUCACCAAGGCGACGAUCAGUAGCUGGUUUGAGAGAACGACCAGCCACACUGGAACUGAGACACGGUCCAGACUCCUACGGAGGCAGCAGUGGGGAAUUUUGGGACAAUGGGGGCAACCCUGAUCCAGCAAUGCCGCGUGGGUGAAGAAGGCCUGGUGUAAGACUCUUGUUCUAGGGAAGG